rnacentral:rRNA from 1 species
AAUGUUGACCUCGGAUCAGGUAGGGGUUCCCCGCACU